ACAACAAAUAUUUAACUUAAGGAAAAUCUAAUUAUAUACACAAAAAACUAACACUUUCAUUUAAAAAAUUUUGUAAUUUUCUUAAAAAACCGUGAUCUUUUUACAACUAAAUUUAUUAAUUUUAUACGAUACUAGAAUUACUAACAUUCGCCGCCAUUUAACGAAAAUAAAGAACUAAUGAAACUCUGACAAGCAAGUGUUGUAUUUUAUACAUAGAGAUGAUAAAACUGCGAUAAGGUAUUCAAUUUUUUGAUGACAGAAAUUAAUGAACAAGAAGAAGAAAGAAAAUUUUGCAGAUUUAUUCUUCGAUGCCAAUUCUUAUUGGAAACUAAUGGUAAAGAAAUCUAAGCUAAAGUUCAUCAAUAAUUUUUGUGCAUUACGAUUGUUCCUAUUAAAAGUUCGUAACAUUUGUUUACUUGAACCGUUCCUAUAGGAAAAUAACCGAUUACAUGCACUUCUACUCAUGAACAAAACUCACAACACUAACAGCAACAAACUGAAAAAUUCUC